AUCCUCCAAGGCUAAAUACUCCUGACUGACCGAUAGUGAACCAGUACCGUGAGGGAAAGGCGAAAAGAACCCCGGCGAGGGGAGUGAAAAAGAACCUGAAACCGUGUACGUACAAGCAGUGGGAGCCUCUUUUAUGGGGUGACUGCGUACCUUUUGUAUAAUGGGUCAGCGACUUAUAUUCUGUAGCAAGGUUAACCGUAUAGGGGAGCCGGAGGGAAACCGAGUCUUAAUUGGGCGUUAAGUUGCAGGGUAUAGACCCGAAACC
rnacentral:rRNA from 1 species